rnacentral:lncRNA from 1 species
UUGAAGUCCUUUUUUGAUAUUUUACCAAAAUCAUCAGAUCUCUCGAUGGUCGUGAGUGACUUCGAAGACGACGACGACGAGUCACACUUCCCCUGAGCUUCUCGCUUCUCAUACUCUUUCAAAUUCUGGGGCCAAUGAUUUAAACAGACAUUGAUUUUGGAACUCCGUGGUUCAAUGCACGGCCAAGUUUAUUAGAAACACUUUGGUUUGCUGGAGCUGAAACCGAAUCAGUCAAGGAUGGUGAGUUCCAUUUUUGCAUUGUGAGCCUUCUCAAAAUGGUAGGUAGUCUUACCUACCUAAAGUUGAUAGUAAAGCUGAGGUCUUAAAUCUUGCGUUUCAUGUGAACCUAAUGAAAAAGAAUAUUUGGGAGGAAAGAAAUUGAGUUUUCCUUUCUUUCUUUUGUUGCUUUAAAGCUGAUUCAUGCAUGUUUAUGUUAGUAUACAGAGCUUUAAACAAGAUUAAAAACUAAGGAGUGAAAUGUCCUCUAUGAACAGAGAUACAAGUAAUGGCCGGUUUAGCUAUUGGUGUUUCCAGCAUCAAGUCUGGUGAACGUGCGCUCUUGCAUGUUUGCUGGGAAUUUAGCAUAUAGGAGAGAUGGAAACUCUUCUUUUUCCCAAUGUUCCAUCUAUAGCGGAAUUGUUAGAUGACGCUGAAGUUGUUGGAUUUGAUGAAACAAAGGAGGAACGUUUUUUCUUUAAGAUCAUUUGCUGAUUCUUGUUUCCUUACCUGAACACUCCACAACCAAGCUUUUAUCCCAAGCUCUUUGCUUAUAGCUGACUUAGAGGUUGGAUUGUACAGGGAAAAGCUCGCAGUGAUAUGACUAUGGAGGAAAGGUUUGGUGCAGCACACAGAAGGAAAAUGGAUGGGGCUCUCUGUUUAAGGAGGAUAAAUUGGAGGAGGCCAAUACGAAAUGGUUAGGAAUCUCUCUUUCUUUCUAACAAUUACGGUCAAAGUUUUGGUUUUCAAGGCAUACUCAGCGACUCUGCCCGAGGCUCUUGCAUCUCCUUUCGGCUCUAAAACAAAGAGCCUUAACUGGUUGAUAGUGUUAUCGCAAUGGUUGGUUUGCCUUUUCUGCCGGAGUUAAAGCAGAUAAAGAGGUAUGAGAAGCUUAACAAUUCAAUUAUAUAAGACCAAAGUGAAAGAUCACAACUCUCAAUUCUCCUAUGUCGGAAUUGAAUUUCUUAUCUUAUUACUGAUUUGUGCAGAAUUUACAAGGAGGAGCUAGCUUAGCUACUACCAUGAAGAUUUGGGGAAGCUGAGAUGUUGCCAGGAGAAGUAAGCACAAACCAAUAGUUGAGAGAUAUAAACAUAAACAGCAAAAGAGAGACUCAUAAGCAUCAGGUCCUUGACGUCUCCUUUCUUCUUCUCUGGCUUCAGAUUCUUCCCAAUCUUCCCAGCCUCUGAAAUCAUCCUUCUCAAUGUUCUCUGGAUCACUCCUUCAUUCUCUUCUGGUAAUUUCUGCUUCCGACAAGACAUCACUCUCAUAGAUCUAACUCCGUGUCUGCUUGAGGCUUGUCUCUUUGUACGGUGGUUAGUGCAGAGUGGGUGGUAGUAGAAGGUGGUGGAGAGAGCCGCCAUGAGAAGAUGAAUAGAAUAAUUGAAGAAAGUUUUUUGUUUUGGGAAUCAAAAGUGAGCAGGAAAAUAUCAGAAUCUUGAUAGCUUAACGACAAAAAUGAUUUGAAAAAUGGGUGGAUAGAUCUCAUCUAACACACACACAUGUAGUCACAAGGUACACGCCAAUGCAAAACCAAAUUGGCCGAAUUUCUAUUCGGUUCGUUUCAACUAAUUCGGUUUGUUUCGAUUUCUAAACCGAAAACCCAAAUUUUUUGAUCCAAACCGAUUCUGAAUGGCC